GACGAACGCUGGCGGCGUGCUUAACACAUGCAAGUCGAACGGAAAGGCCCUGCUUUUGUGGGGUGCUCGAGUGGCGAACGGGUGAGUAACACGUGAGUAACCUGCCCUUGACUUUGGGAUAACUUCAGGAAACUGGGCCUAAUACCGGAUAGGAGCUCCUGCUGCAUGGUGGGGGUUGGAAAGUUUCGGCGGUUGGGGACGGACUCGCGGCUUAUCAGCUUGUUGGUGGGGUAGUGGCUUACCAAGGCUUUGACGGGUAGCCGGCCUGAGAGGGUGACCGGCCACAUUGGGACUGAGAUACGGCCCAGACUCCUACGGGAGGCAGCAGUGGGGAAUAUUGCACAAUGGGCGGAAGCCUGAUGCAGCAACGCCGCGUGCGGGAUGACGGCCUUCGGGUUGUAAACCGCUUUCGCCUGUGACGAAGCGUGAGUGACGGUAAUGGGUAAAGAAGCACCGGCUAACUACGUG
rnacentral:rRNA from 1 species